CCACACCCGUCAGUUGGGAUGCUGUUUAGCAUCCACCCCAAUUCCCCUCCUCGUUUCUGUCAAGCUCGCCACUAGCUUCUUAUCUCUCUGUUUCUCCUGUCACUAAGGUACUGUGUAUAAUCGUGUGUAAUAUUGGUAAAUUGUAUUGCCCUACGUGUUAUGGGCCCGGCUGACGCCCACACGAUUAAAUACAAAAAUGGCAGAGAAUUCCGAGGGCAAACGUGAUUUCACCAAAUUCAAUGGAGUGAAUUUCCCGCAAUGGAAAUUUGCAGUCAUGCUGAAACUGAAGCAAAAGAAACUGGAUGGGAUAGUCCUGGGUUACGACAGGAAACCAAAUGAGGUAUGUCAAGAAAUGGAGGUAGAAAGAGUGAAGGUCACUGUGAUUACCAACCAGAAUGAAAUCGACACAUGGAUAGACAAGGACAUUAACGCACAAGGAAUCAUUUUCUACAACAUCGAACCGUCUU